rnacentral:snRNA from 1 species
AUUAAUUUAAAUUACAAAGAAACAUAUAUAUAUGUAUAUCAGCUUAAUAUCUGAUACGGGGCUCAUUGAGUCACUACGAUAUUAAACUGAUUUUUGGAACUAAGCGAGAUGUCCGUGGCUUGCUCCGCUCUCGCCACGGGUCGACCAGAUAUCGCAGUCCUUCCGGGAAUGGCCCAACACAA